UUGUUGGUAAGGUAAAAGCUUACCAAGGCUUCGAUCAGUAGCUGGUCUGAGAGGACGACCAGCCACACUGGGACUGAGACACGGCCCAGACUCCUACGGGAGGCAGCAGUGGGGAAUUUUGGACAAUGGGGGCAACCCUGAUCCAGCCAUGCCGCGUGAGUGAAGAAGGCCUUCGGGUUGUAAAGCUCUUUCAGCCGGAACGAAACGGUUACGGAUAACACCCGUGACUACUGACGGUACCGGAAGAAGAAGCACCGGCUAACUACGUGCCAGCAGCCGCGGUAAUACGUAGGGUGCGAGCGUUAAUCGGAAUUACUGGGCGUAAAGCGUGCGCAGGUGGUUUUGUAAGUCAGAUGUGAAAGCCCCGGGCUCAACCUGGGAACUGCGUUUGAAACUACAAGACUAGAGUGUGGCAGAGGGGGGUGGAAUUCCGCGUGUAGCAGUGAAAUGCGUAGAGAUGUGGAGGAACACCGAUGGCGAAGGCAGCCCCCUGGGUCAACACUGACGCUCAGGCACGAAAGCAUGGGGAGCAAACAGGAUUAGAUACCCUGGUAGUCCAUGCCCUAAACGAUGUCAACUAGUUGUCGGGCCUUUACGGGCUUGGUAACGUAGCUAACGCGUGAAGUUGACCGCCUGGGGAGUACGAUCGCAAGAUUAAAACUCAAAUGAAUUGACGGGGACCCGCACAAGCGGUGGAUUAUGCGGAUUAAUUCGAUGCAACGCGAAAAACCUUACCUACCCUUGACAUGUAUCGAAGCCCGCAGAAAAGCGGGGGUGCCCGAAAGGGAACGAUAACACAGGUGCUGCAUGGCUGUCGUCAGCUCGUGUCGUGAGAUGUUGGGUUAAGUCCCGCAACGAGCGCAACCCUUGUCAUUAAUUGCCGUCAUUUAGUUGGGCACUUUAAUGAGACUGCCGG
rnacentral:rRNA from 1 species